GGAUGUGAGGGCGAUCUGUCACCCCAUUGAUCGCCAGGGUUGACUUGGCUGAUCUAGCUGGCUAGGUGGGUGUCCCCUUCCUCCCUCACUGCUCCAUGUGCAUCCCUCCCGAUUCUGAAGAUGUACUCAAUAAAAUUAAAUAAGACAUUUAUUUCUUAUGUAAACCCUUUGGAACACUACAAAUAAGAGGACAUUUCCUUAACCUGAUAAAGUUAAGUUGGCUCUGAAAUCUAGAGCCAACACCAUUCUUCAUGGUGAGAGAGGAGAGGCAGUUCCAUUUAAACCAAAGACAAGAGAUGAAUUCUUACUAUCCACUGUUAUUUAGCAUUGUCUGAAAGUUUGG
rnacentral:snRNA from 1 species